UACGUAGGGUGCAAGCGUUGUCCGGAAUUAUUGGGCGUAAAGAGCUCGUAGGCGGCUUGUCGCGUCGGCUGUGAAAACCUGGGGCUCAACCCCGGGCCUGCAGCCGAUACGGGCACGCUAGAAUUCGGUAGGGGAGACUGGAAUUCCUGGUGUAGCGGUGAAAUGCGCAGAUAUCAGGAGGAACACCGGUGGCGAAGGCGGGUCUCUGGGCCGAAAUUGACGCUGAGGAGCGAAAGCGUGGGGAGCAAACAGG
rnacentral:rRNA from 1 species